UUUUAAUCUAUAUUUUAAUAGUUUCUUGUUUCAAUCCAAAAUUUGUUUCAUGAUCCACUUGGGAUGAGUGAAAUGAGGAAGUAAAAUUGCAUGCAUUUGCUUAGUUGUCUUCUUUAUUCUGCAUAACCCUUUGUGGAAUCUGUUUAACCUUCUACAUUACUCUAAGAUAUAGUUGUUGUUGGAAAUGCUUUGUAGCUUUAAUCAAUAGUCAGAAUCUUCUGAAGCAAAUAAAUCUAAUCAUAAAAGCAUCCAAUUGAGAGAAGUGAAAAAGAGCCUCAAGUGCCACAAUGGAUUUUGGCAUAUAUUGGCUAUGUCAU